rnacentral:tRNA from 1 species
GCGGGUGUGGCGGAAUGGUAGACGCGCUGGAUUCAAAAUCCAGUGUCCUUUGGACGUGAGAGUUCAAGUCUCUCCACCCGCACCA